AGAGUUUGAUCCUGGCUCAGGACAAACGCUGGCGGCGUGCCUAACACAUGCAAGUCGCACGGGGUUCUUUUCUUCGGAGAGGGAUCGAGUGGCGGACGGGUGAGUAACACGUGGAUGACGUAUCCUCGUGUGGGGGAUACCCUCCAGAAAUGGGGGUUAAUACCGCAUACGAUCUGGCUGGUAGAGCGGUCAGAAGAAAGUUUUGCUGGCAACGGCAAGGCGCAGGGGGAGCGGUCUGCGGCCGAUUAGCUAGUUGGUGGGGUAAGAGCCUACCAAGGCAGCGAUCGGUAGCUGGUCUGAGAGGAUGAUCAGCCACACUGGGAUUGAGAACGGCCCAGACUCCUACGGGGGGCAGCAGUGAGGGAUCUUCGUCAAUGGGGGCAACCCUGAACGAGCAACGCCGCGUGUGGGACGACGGCCUUCGGGUUGUAAACUGCUUUUAUAUGUGACGAUUAUGACGGUAGCAUAUGAAUAAGGAUCGGCUAACUCCGUGCCAGCAGCCGCGGUCAUACGGAGGAUCCAAGCGUUAUCCGGAAUUACUGGGCGUAAAGAGUUGCGUAGGUGGCAGGGUAAGUAGAUAGUGAAAGCGUGUGGCUCAACCAUACAUCCAUUAUCUAAACUGCUCAGCUAGAGGAUGAGAGAGGUUAUUGGAAUUCCCAGUGUAGGAGUGAAAUCCGUAGAUAUUGGGAGGAACACCGAUGGCGUAGGCAGAUAACUGGCUCAUUCCUGACACUAAGGCACGAAAGCGUGGGGAGCAAACGGGAUUAGAUACCCCGGUAGUCCACGCCGUAAACUAUGGAUGCUAGCUGUUAUCGGUAUCGACCCCGGUAGUAGCGAAGCUAACGCGUUAAGCAUCCCGCCUGUGGAGUACGGUCGCAAGACUAAAACUUAAAGGAAUUGACGG
rnacentral:rRNA from 1 species